rnacentral:rRNA from 1 species
UGGGUAACCUGCCUCAAAGAGGGGAAUAGCCUCCCGAAAAGGGGAGAUUAAUACCGCAUAAUAUGUUUAAGUCGCAUGACUUUAACAUCAAAGGAUUUUUCUUUUAAGAAAUUCCACUUUGAGAUGGACCCGCGGCGCAUUAGCUAGUUGGUGAGGUAACGGCUCACCAAGGCAACGAUGCGUAGCCGGCCUGAGAGGGUGAUCGGCCACACUGGAACUGAGACACGGUCCAGACUCCGUAGGGAGG